GGGGAAUAUUGCACAAUGGGGGGAACCCUGAUGCAGCGACGCCGCGUGGAGGAAGAAGGUCUUCGGAUUGUAAACUCCUGUUGUUGAGGAAGAUAAUGACGGUACUUAAUGAAUAAGCUCCGGCUAACUACGUGCCAGCAGCCGCGGUAAUACGUAGGGAGCAAGCGUUGUCCGGAUUUACUGGGUGUAAAGGGUGCGUAGGCGGCUUUGCAAGUCAGAUGUGAAAUCUAUGGGCUCAACCCAUAAACUGCAUUUGAAACUGUAGAGCUUGAGUGAAGUAGAGGCAGGCGGAAUUCCCCGUGUAGCGGUGAAAUGCGUAGAGAUGGGGAGGAACACCAGUGGCGAAGGCGGCCUGCUGGGCUUUAACUGACGCUGAGGCACGAAAGCGUGGGUAGCAAACAGGAUUAGAUACCCUGGUAGUCCACGCUGUAAACGAUGAUUACUAGGUGUGGGGGGUCUGACCCCUUCCGUGCCGGAGUUAACACAAUAAGUAAUCCACCUGGGGAGUACGGCCGCAAGGUUGAAACUCAAAGGAAUUGACGGGGGCCCGCACAAGCAGUGGAGUAUGUGGUUUAAUUCGAAGCAACGCGAAGAACCUUACCAGGUCUUGACAUCCAACUAACGAAGUAGAGAUACAUUAGGUGCCCUUCGGGGAAAGUUGAGACAGGUGGUGCAUGGUUGUCGUCAGCUCGUGUCGUGAGAUGUUGGGUUAAGUCCCGCAACGAGCGCAACCCUUGCUAUUAGUUGCUACGCAAGAGCACUCUAAUAGGACUGCCGUUGACAAAACGGAGGAAGGUGGGGACGACGUCAAAUCAUCAUGCCCCUUAUGACCUGGGCUACACACGUACUACAAUGGAUGUUAACAGAGGGAAGCAAGACAGCGAUGUGGAGCAAACCCCUAAAAACAUUCUCAGUUCAGAUUGCAGGCUGCAACCCGCCUGCAUGAAGAUGGAAUUGCUAGUAAUCGCGGAUCAGCAUGCCGCGGUGAAUACGUUCCCG
rnacentral:rRNA from 1 species